ACCCCUCCGGGCACGAGCGGGAUGACCACCCUGCUACAGCCUCCAAAAAUGCUAUACUGAGAUUUUUGUGGUGAAAGAGUUUUCACAGCUUCUGGGUCAUUUUAAAGCUAUAAAUUACUUGGCUGUUAUGGAAAGUUGAUUUGUUGUUGGUGGUCUUUUUAAGUCCCUGCUUGCAAUAGAGAAUGAAGUGCUCUUGUCGGUGGCAGAGGAAAGCCAGGAGUGCUGGCUAGAGAGACAAGGGUAGAUGUCUUUCCAGUAGGAGGAGUCCUUUGACUAUCAGCAUGUCUUCCAUGGAUCGCUCUGGCAGAUCGCAAGGGAACCAGACUGGAUUGAAAAUGCUAUGGAAGAGGCUGCAUGUAUGUUGUUUUAACUUCGUUAACACUAGCAACAAAGACCAACUGGGAAGUUCAGAAGAUGUACAGUACUGAUCCUUGUCAUCACAGAUCUGAUCGUCUGUCACUCACUGAAGCUGAAAGAGACUCAAUGAGGUUUCAAGAGUACUGUUCCCUCCCUCUUCCCAUCUUCUGAGGAGCCUAAACCGAGAACUAGAAUUUUCUGCAGCAAUAAUUCAAAAGAAGCCAUCCAUCCAUUGUAGCAGGAUGGUUACAUGGCAAGAAAAUGCUCCUCCUAGGCCUCCUUUAUACCCUGGAGAUAAACCUUUGUUUAUGGCCUUCAUUCCAACUAAGGCUAAUGGACUAUGAGGACAACAAGCAACCUGAAAUUUGUCACAUAGUUAUUGACCCCUUGCAUGUUCACUAGAUGUAAAAAUGAAACCGUGCAACAGAAAAUUGUGGGUCUGGUGUUAUGAGUUUAUUAAAGCAAUGAAUAGUGGGUCCGAUCCUCUUCAGACUCUCACCAGUUUUAACACCAGUGACUCACCGCUGAUUUCAAUGCAAUCGUUCCUGAUUUUCACUUGUGUAAGUGACAGGAGACUUGGGGCCAACCGUUCUUUCCCUUAAUUAUUUCAACUAGAUUUUAAAUGAAUGCAAAACAUUUGUUUUGUUGAUGUUUAAAUGUAUGUACUGGUGGUAUUCAUUAUUCCUCUCUCUGCGUCUAUCUUUAUAAUUAACACCUCCCACUGUUAACUAAUGAGCAAUAGCCUGAUAAAGCAGCACAAAACUCAUCAUGCAAAUUGAUAUUUGCAAUUUGUAUCCAGGCCAUGCUUACAUUUUUGUUUCUGCAGUUACUUUAUGAAUUGUAGUAUGAUGACUUAUGGAAUUCAUAUAGUAUCAAAAAAGGUUUGCUCUGCAUCUCUGGGCCGGUUUCUAUUAGUAAAUGAUCUAUUUUUUAGACCAGAUUGGAUUAAGACAAAGGGUGAUCAGAGUUGUUGGCAUGAUCACAUCUUAUUAGCACAAAGAUUUUAUUUAAAGUGAGUAGGAGAAAAAGACUUCAGCAGCAGGGUAGGUAGAACUGAACAAAUCACUGUUCUCAGUUCUGAUACACUGGGGUGUACAUGAAGUCAUUCUAUUGAACUGAAUGCAAUAGAAUUACUGCACAUUUACACCAGUAUUCUUAAGAUCGGAUUCUCACUCUAUUUAUAAUAUAUUGUUACGCAUAAUAUACACGUAUAUGACCAAAACUGACUAGUGAUUUUGGGUGCUCAACUUGAAACACUGUAAAGGGGCCUGAUUUGCAGAAAG